GCCUGGGUAGCUCAGUUGGUUGAGCGUCUGACUUCAGCUCAGGUCAUGAUCUCGCAGAGUUGGUGAGUUCAAGCCCCACAUCAGGCU
rnacentral:tRNA from 1 species